AACGAACGCUGGCGGCAGGCUUAACACAUGCAAGUCGAGCGCCCCGCAAGGGGAGCGGCAGACGGGUGAGUAACGCGUGGGAAUCUACCCAUCUCUACGGAAUAACGCAUGGAAACGUGUGCUAAUACCGUAUACGUCCUUCGGGAGAAAGAUUUAUCGGAGAUGGAUGAGCCCGCGUUGGAUUAGCUAGUUGGUGGGGUAAAGGCGUACCAAGGCGACGAUCCAUAGCUGGUCUGAGAGGAUGAUCAGCCACACUGGGACUGAGACACGGCGCAGACUCCUACGGGAGGCAGCAGUGGGGAAUAUUGGACAAUGGGCGCAAGCCUGAUCCAGCCAUGCCGCGUGAGUGAUGAAGGCCCUAGGGUUGUAAAGCUCUUUCACCGGUGAAGAUAAUGACGGUAACCGGAGAAGAAGCCCCGGCUAACUUCGUGCCAGCCGCCGCAGUAAAAC
rnacentral:rRNA from 1 species